UACGGAGGGGGCUAGCGUUGUUCGGAAUUACUGGGCGUAAAGCGCGCGUAGGCGGCUUUGUAAGUUAGAGGUGAAAGCCCGGAGCUCAACUCCGGAACUGCCUUUAAGACUGCAUCGCUAGAAUCAUGGAGAGGUGAGUGGAAUUCCGAGUGUAGAGGUGAAAUGCGCAGAUAUCAGGAAGAACACCCGUGGCGAAAGCGGCUCUCUGGAACGGUACUGACGCUGAGACGCGAAAGCGUGGGGAGCGAACAGG
rnacentral:rRNA from 1 species